rnacentral:rRNA from 1 species
GACGAGCUCUCCGAACGUUAUUCGGUAUCACUGGGCUUAAAGAGUUCGUAGGCGGUCUGGUAGGUGAGGUGUGAAAUCCCCCGGCUCAACCGGGGAACUGCGCUUCAAACCACCGGACUUGAGGGAGACAGAGGUGGGCGGAACAGAUGGUGUAGCGGUGAAAUGCGUAGAUAUCUGGAGGAAUACCGGUGGCGAAGGCGGCAUCCUGGACCAAUACUGACGCUGAGGCGCGAAAGCUAGGGGAGCAAACGGG